UACGGGGGGGAGCAAGCGUUGUUCGGAUUUACUGGGCGUAAAGGGCGCGUAGGCGGUCAGCACAAGUCAGUUGUGAAAUCUCCGGGCUUAACUCGGAAAGGUCAACUGAUACUGUGCGACUAGAGUGCAGAAGGGGGCAACUGGAAAUUCCCGGGUGUAGUGGUGAAAAUGCGUAGAUAUCGGGAGGAACACCAGUGGCGAAGGCGACUACCCUGGCCUGUUCUUGACGCUGAGGCGCGAAAAGCUAGGGGGAGCAAACGGGG
rnacentral:rRNA from 1 species